rnacentral:rRNA from 1 species
GACGAACGCUGGCGGCGUGCCUAAUACAUGCAAGUAGAACGCACAGUUUAUACCGUAGCUUGCUACACCAUAGACUGUGAGUUGCGAACGGGUGAGUAACGUGUAGGUAACCUGCCUGGUAGCGGGGGAUAACUAUUGGAAACGAUAGCUAAUACCGCAUAAUAUUGAUUAUUGCAUGAUAAUUGAUUGAAAGAUGCUAUUGCAUCACUACCAGAUGGACCUGCGUUGUAUUAGCUAGUAGGUGAGGUAACGGCUCACCUAGGCGACGAUACAUAGCCGACCUGAGAGGGUGAUCGGCCACACUGGGACUGAGACACGGCCCAGACUCCUACGGGAGGCAGCAGUAGGGAAUCUUCGGCAAUGGACGAAAGUCUGACCGAGCAACGCCGCGUGAGUGAAGAAGGUUUUCGGAUCGUAAAGCUCUGUUGUAAGAGAAGAACGGGUGUGAGAGUUGAAAGUUCACACUGUGACGGUAUCUUACCAGAAAGGGACGGCUAACUACGUG